rnacentral:rRNA from 11 species
GACCCAAGCCUGAAGGCAUUAAAGGCACCAGGACCCAUCUGAUCUUGGACGCUAAGCAGGAUCAGUCUGGGUUAGUCCUUACAUGAGAGACUGCAUAUGAAUAUUAGACGCUGGGGUUU